rnacentral:rRNA from 1 species
UAAGAGGGGGAGUAACAUACCGGAACGGGUGCUAAUACCGCAUAGUUUUCUUGAUCGCAUGAUCGGGAAAGGAAAGACGGCCUUUGUGCUGUCGCUUAUGGAUGGACCCGCGGCGUAUUAGUUAGUUGGUGAGGUAACGGCUCACCAAGACGAUGAUACGUAGCCGACCUGAGAGGGUGAUCGGCCACAUUGGGACUGAGACACGGCCCAAACUCCUACGGGAGGCAGCAGUAGGGAAUCUUCCGCAAUGGACGAAAGUCUGACGGAGCAACGCCGCGUGAGUGAAGAAAAGGUUUUCGGAUCGUAAAACUCUGUUGUCAGAGAAGAACAAGUUGGAGAGUAACUGCUCCAGCCUUGACGGUAUCUGACCAGAAAGCCACGGCUAACUACGUGCCAGCAGCCGC